rnacentral:rRNA from 1 species
AGCAGUGAGGAAUAUUGGUCAAUAGUCGAAAGACUGAACCAGCAACUUGGAAGAAUGGAAAAUGCGCAACAUAUAAAAUUCUAGAUAAAAUAAAGAGUAUGACGAUUUUUUAUCUAAAUGUCUUGACCAAAUCACGUGCCAGCAGUCGCGGUAAUACGUAAAAGACUAGUGUUAUUCAUCAUUAUUUGGUUUAAAGGGUACCUAGACAGAUUACCAAGCCUAAAUAGGGACUAGUUUUCUAGAGUUUUAUGUGAGAAUUAACGAAUUGCCAGAGGAGAGUCUUAAUUCUGUGAUACUGGUAAGACGGGUAACGGCGAAGGCAAUAUUCUAUGUAAAAACUGACGUUGAGGGACGAAGCCUUGGGGAGCGAUAAGGAUUAGAUACCCUAGUAGUCCAAGGAGACAAUUAUGAGUGCCAUAGGCUAGUCUACUUUAGCUUAUAAAUGAAAGUGUAAGCAUUCCACCUCAUGACUAAGGCGGCAAUGCACAAAUUGAAAUCAUUAGACCGUUUCUGAGAACAGUAGUGAAGUACGUUAUUUAAUUCGAUGGUCCGCGAAUAACCUUACCACGUUUUGUAUAAAUUAAACAAAUACAGGCGCUGCACGGCUGUCUUCAGUUGAUGUCGUGAGAUUAGGAUAUUUCCCCCAAUUAACGAAAGCCCUAACUUUAUUUUUAUUUAAAGUGCUUAUUUCUAUAAUGGAAAUAACAAGAGGGAUCAAGACAAGUCAUCAUGGCCCUAAUAACGUGGGCUAUA